GGGGGGGGCAAAAUUGUAAUGACAUCCAUGCUUGGUACCUUUUUGACAGUGUCAUGAAAGGGAAGGGGCAUAGCCAUUAUCACAUAAAGCCAGGGUGAAUAGCGUUUUCACAACUAUGGUGUCAGGAAUAUAUGUUUGUAUUCCUGACACUAUAGUGUUCCCUUAAGCAAAUUAAAGGACAUUUCUGGUCACCAUAACAACUUCAC
rnacentral:lncRNA from 1 species